rnacentral:rRNA from 1 species
UACGAAGGGGGCUAGCGUUGUUCGGAAUUACUGGGCGUAAAGCGCGCGUAGGCGGUGAUCUUUGUCAGAGGUGAAAGCCCGGGGCUCAACUCCGGAAUUGCCUUUGAAACGGGAUCGCUUGAGUCCGAGAGGGGAUGGCGGAAUUCCUAGUGGUAGAGGUGAAAUUCGUAGAUAUUAGGAAGAACACCGGUGGCGAAGGCGGCCAUCUGGCUCGGUACUGACGCUCAGGCGCGAAAGCGUGGGGAGCAAACAGG